rnacentral:rRNA from 1 species
AUUGAACGCUGGCGGCAGGCCUAACACAUGCAAGUCGAGCGAGCGGCGGACGGGUGAGUAAUGUCUGGGGAUCUGCCCGAUAGAGGGGGAUAACUACUGGAAACGGUGGCUAAUACCGCAUACUAUCGGAUGAACCCAUAUGGGAUUAGCUAGUAUGUGGGGUAAAGGCUCACCUAGGCGACGAUCCCUAGCUGGUCUGAGAGGAUGACAAGACACACUGGAACUGAGACACGGCCCAGACUCCUACGGGAGGCAGCAGUGGGGAAUAUUGCACAAGGGGCGCAAGCCUGAUGCAGCCAUGCCGCGUGUAUGAAGAAGGCCUUCGGGUUGUAAAGUACGUUCAGCGGGGAGGCGUUACGCGCAGAAGAAGCACCGGCUAACUCCGUGCCAGCAGCCGCGGUAAUUC